rnacentral:rRNA from 1 species
GACGAACGCUGGCGGCGUGCUUAACACAUGCAAGUCGAACGGAAAGGCCCAGCUUGCUGGGUACUCGAGUGGCGAACGGGUGAGUAACACGUGGGUGAUCUGCCCUGCACUCUGGGAUAAGCCUGGGAAACUGGGUCUAAUACCGGAUAUGACCAACUGUCGCAUGGUGGUUGGUGGAAAGCUUUUGCGGUGUGGGAUGGGCCCGCGGCCUAUCAGCUUGUUGGUGGGGUAAUGGCCUACCAAGGCGACGACGGGUAGCCGACCUGGGAGGGUGAUCGGCCACACUGGGACUGAGACACGGCCCAGACUCCUACGGGAGGCAGCAGUGGGGAAUAUUGCACAAUGGGCGCAAGCCUGAUGCAGCGACGCCGCGUGAGGGAUGACGGCCUUCGGGUUGUAAACCUCUUUCACCAGGGACGAAGCGUGAGUGACGGUACCUGGAGAAGAAGCACCGGCCAACUACGUG